CCACCAAUAGAUCUAGCGACGCCACCUCCAACACCACCGUCCCUGUCUCCGACGUCGCCAAAAACAGUACUUUGCAAGCACCGCCGCCGGAAAAUUCAACUCCGAUGGUUAAAGACAAAACCUUUGAAUCUCCGGUCGUAAACGGAACCAACCCAGUUGCCAAAAACAGUACUUUACAAUCACCGGCGCCGGAAAGUCGAACUCCGGUUGCUAAAAACGCAACCUUUGUAUCUCCGGUCGUAAACGGAACCAACCCAGUUGCCAAAAACAGUACUUUGCAAUCACCGGCGCCGGAAAAACGAACUCCGGUUGCUAAAAACACAACCUUUGUAUCUCCGGUCGUUAACGGCACCAACCCAGCUUCUCAACCUAUGCUUCCAGAUAAGUCUCCGACAGGAUCGAGUAAUCAGACACGAACCACCGAUGAUGUUCGAAACGAGACAUCAGUUCCACCCGUGUCGGUAGAUCUGAC
rnacentral:lncRNA from 1 species